GGGGAUAACCUAGCGAAAGUUAGGCUAAUACCUGAUACGCUCUGAGGAGGAAAGUGGGGGACCGAUCGGCCUCACGCUCAAUGAGCGGCCGAUGUCCGAUUAACUAGUUGGUGGGGUAAAAGCCCACCUAGGCGACCAUCGGUAGCUGGUCUGAGAGGACGACCAGCCACACUGGGACUGACACACGGCCCACACUCCUUCCGGAGGCAGCAAUGGGGAAUUUUGGACAAUGGGGGAAACCCUGAUCCAUCCAUGCCCCGUGGGUGAAGAAGGCCUGCCGGUUGUAAAGCCCUUUCUGCCGGGACGAAAUCACACGGGUGAAUAUCCCGUGUGGAUGACGGUACCGGAAGAAGAAACACCGGCUAACUACGUGCCAUCACCCGCGGUAAUACAUAGGGUGCGAGCGUUAAUCGGAAUUACUGGGCGUAAAGCGUGCGCAGGCGGCCUCUUAAGCCAGAUGUGAAAUCCCCGGGCUUAACCUGGGAACUGCGUUUGGAACUGGGAGGCUAGAGUGUGGCAGAGGGGGGUGGAACUCCUUGUGUAGCGGUGAAAUGCGUGCAUAUCUGGAGGAACGCCCGUGGCGAAAGCGACUUGCUUCCUCGUAACUGACGCUGACGCGCGAAAGCCAGGGGAGCAGACCGGAUUAGAUACACGGUAGUCCUGGCCCUAAACGAUGAGCACUUGGCUGUGGUCCGUCCACUGGAUCACAGCUGCAGCCGAAAGUGGUAAGUGCUCCGCCUGGCCAGUACAGUCGCAAGGCUGAGACUCAAAUGAAUUGACGG
rnacentral:rRNA from 1 species